AGUGGAUGGGGAGCAACCUAGUUGUGCGUGUGUAAAGGUAGUGCCAAGAAAAGCGAUGAUCAUGUUGAAAAUCAAUUCCCGGUACCCGAAACCGACACAGGUGGGCAAGUAGAGAAUACUAAGGGGCGCGAGGUAACUCUCUCCAAGGAACUCGGCAAAAUGACCCCGUAACUUAGGGAGAAGGGGUGCCACCGAGAGGUGGUCGCAGUGAAGAGGCCCAGGCGACUGUUUAGCAAAAACAUAGGUCUCUGCAAACUCGAAAGAGGAGGUAUAGGGGCUGACGCCUGCCCAGUGCCGGAAGGUUAAAGAAGUUGGUCAGUUUUAGGAUGAAGCUAGCGACUGAAGCCCCGGUGAACGGCGGCCGUAACUAUAACGGUCCUAAGGUAGCGAAAUUCCUUGUCGGGUAUUUCCGACCCGCACGAAAGGCGUAACGAUCUGGGCGCUGUCUCGGAGAGAGGCUCGGCGAAAUAGGAUUGUCUGUGAAGAUACGGACUACCUGCAUUUGGACAGAAAGACCCUAUGAAGCUUUACUAUAGCUUGGAAUUGUGUUCGGGCUUCCUGUGCGCAGGAUAGGUGGGAGGCGUAGAAGGUAUUCUUGUGGGGAUACUGGAGCCAACGGUGAGAUACCACUCUCAGGAGGCUAGAAUUCUAACUUAAUUAAGGACAGUUUCAGGUGGGUAGUUUGACUGGGGCGGUCGCCUCCAAAAAGGUAACGGAGGCGUACAAAGGUUCCCUCAGACUGGUUGGAAAUCAGUCGAAGAGUGCAAAGGCAGAAGGGAGCUUGACUGCGAGAAGUACAGUUCGAGCAGGGUGGAAACACGGUCUUAGUGAUCCGACGGUGCUGUGUGGAAGGGCCGUCGCUCAACGGAUAAAAGUUACUCUAGGAUAACAGGCUGAUCUCCCCCAAGAGUUCACAUCGACGGGGAGGUUUGGCACCUCGAUGUCGGCUCAUCGCAACCUGGGGCGGAAGUACGUCCCAAGGGUUGGGCUGUUCGCCCAUUAAAGCGGUACGUGAGCUGGGUUCAGAACGUCGUGAGACAGUUCGGUCCAUAUCCGAUGUAGGCGUGAGAAUAUUGAGAGGAGCCUUCCUUAGUACGAGAGGACCGGGAAGGACGCACCGCUGGUGUACCUGUUAUGAUGCCAAUUGUAAACGCAGGGUAGCCAAGUGCGGAGAGGAUAACCGCUGAAAGCAUCUAAGUGGGAAGCCCACCUCAAGAUGAGUAUUCUGGUGUAAGGUCACGGGAAGACGACCCGUAAAUAGGCACGAGGUGGAAGUGCAGAGAUGUAUGAAGCCGAAGUGUACUAAUAGACCGUCGGCUU
rnacentral:rRNA from 1 species